rnacentral:lncRNA from 1 species
GCUCCUGUGGCGUCUUCAACCCGGGGAAAACCAAAAACAUAGUAGCAGGCAGCAGCAGCCAUACUAAUAAAUUCAACACCAUAACAACCAGUCAUACUAAAUUAAAAAUUGUAGCUGCAUACUAAGGAUUGGCAGCAACACAGCAAAUCAGCAACACCAUUGACCACUUAAAACAAUACAAAUAUCUUAAAAUUCAGCUUCAAAUAAAACAC